UCGGGAAUAUUGCGCAAUGGAGGAAACUCUGACGCAGUGACGCCGCGUAUAGGAAGAAGGUUUUCGGAUUGUAAACUAUUGUCAUCAGGGAAGAUAAAAGACAGUACCUGAGGAGGAAGCUCCGGCUAACUAUGUGCCAGCAGCCGCGGUAAUACAUAGGGAGCAAGCGUUAUCCGGAUUUAUUGGGUGUAAAGGGUGCGUAGACGGGAAAGCAAGUUAGUUGUGAAAUCCCUCGGCUUAACUGAGGAACUGCAACUAAAACUGUUUUUCUUGAGUGUCGGAGAGGAAAGUGGAAUUCCUAGU
rnacentral:rRNA from 1 species